UUUGGGUGCAACCCCCUGCUUUUAUUUUCUUGCAUCCCAAUAUGGGUCAACAUGUUCGAUUCACUUUGAUGAAGGGAUGUGACUACAUGGUUUUAAACUUUUCAAGCCCCAUGGCAAUAAUUUGUUAGGGAAUUGUUUGUACUUUAGAGUAGUAGGUUUACAAUUAGCUACAUUCAUUGGUAAUCUAAUUGCAAAAAGAAACAAACAAGCCAUUGUAGUAAAACAGACCAUUUUAAUUUGGCAAAAAGGGUGUGCACUGCCAAGUCAUUUGACACUAUUAAAAUGCAUUCAGUAUGAACAGUGCAACAGAAAUGUGCUUAACUGUAUCUUUCUGUGCUCCCGAAUGUGAUGUGCUAUUAUCUAUCAUACAUUCAAAAA